UGGAAGAUGUUAGGAACCACCGCAGCGCCACCAAUAGCGGAAGGCAGAGCCAGAGAGCUAUAACAGUGGACCACGCACGCCAAUAGGCUCACAUAAGACAAACAAUCUCAAGUUUAUGUCCGCUUGUGCAUUUUAAAGACUUAUGUAUCCAGAAGUUUGACUGUUUUUCAUUUCAUUUGCGCCAAUCGACAGGAUGAUGCUGAAUAAUCGGUCUGAGAAAGUUUCCCACUGAUGUCAGCCGGGUAUUGGGAAUAGUUGGCGAUGGGCCAGGUGAGUAGCGUUGGGGGGAUGGAUGAGGAGUCCGACCAGAAGAGUGAUGACAACACCUGCAUUCCACAGGACUCUCUGAGCGGAGAGGAGGGGAUGAGUGAGGAGGAGAGGAACAGGAGGAGAGCAGAAAGAAGGAAAGCGAAGAGGAAGGUAAACAGACAGGGUCGUCUCUGAGCAGGGGCGGAGUCACACCCGACACCUACACGUUUAUAAGACAAGAGAGGACUUCCACUGUUACAAAAGGACCCUCAAAAUAGAGCUGUUUCACAAGGUAGCAUCACUUCACAAGGUCGC